UUAUUACUGUUCAUCACAAUAAACUGAAAAUAUAAGAAGAGAGGAAUCAAACAGCCCCAGUGAAAGGGAUGGAUCUUAUGUUCCUGAGGCCACAAGCUGAGAGCUAGAGAAUUCAAGAUUCCAACAGCCUCUGCUUCAGACUGUCCUACCUACUGAGGCUUUUGGUCAAAAGAAGUCUGAUAUCAUUCAGAUUCUCCCUGUCAUGAGACUGAUGCCAACUCAGUCACCUCAAGCAGAUUACUUUCAAAGAACCUACCUCUUAUUCUUGAUAAAAAAACAAGAGUGAGCUUGGCAGACACAGGAGAUGUUUUGAUGCUGGAGGGCCUGACACCGCAGGUGAAGAAAAAGAAGUGUGUGUGUGUGUUUGGGGAUCACUAACAAGGUGAGACUGGGAGAGGUGGGUCUGUGUUUCCCUGUAGCAGAGGGUCAGCAAGCACAGAGAAAGAACUCAAGCUGGGAAGCAUUUUAAAGGAUUCUACUAAAAGAUAAAGAAGGAGACCCUGGACUGUGAAACAGUAUUGUUCAAGGCAUGUGGAAGCAUUCCAGUCAAAGGGGAAAAGAAACAAGCAAUAAGGAAACCCCGGGAGAGAGGAAUAAUAUUGCACACGUCACUCAAAGCUCAGGGGUCUGAGCUACAUUCGCUUGGAGCGGCGAGAGAGGAAGGAGGAGAAAUCAUCUGAGUUUGAGUCGGUGUCCACAGGCUGUCCUGCAGGGACAGCUGUCCUCCGGAGGACUGGUCAGUGUUUUUUGUGGAAGCCUGAUUUUCUAAAAUUAAUUUCUUUAUUCUGGCCUGAUUUGGUACUUCUCUUAGUGUCACUAUUCAAGUAUAAGAAAUGUACAUGCUGUUGUUGAAGGACAUGCUUUCCUUCUUGGGGUAUCUAAGAUUUCCCACUCCCCCAUUCAUAAAGAAUUUCAUAACCCUAGGCUUAGAAGCUG